GCUUACGGCCAUACCACCCUGAGCACGCCCGAUCUCAUCUGAUCUCGGAAGCUAAGCAGUGUCAGGCCUGGUUAGUACUUGGAUGGGAGACCGCCUGGGAAUACCAGGUGCUGUAAGCU
rnacentral:rRNA from 1 species